UUUACUAAACGUAGCCGACGGUAUACGGACUCCUCCUUCUUCCUUCGAUCUCCACUUCGCUGGCUAAGAAAACCAGAACGUCAGGCGUUUUACUAUAUAUCUUCAUCUCCUUAUUUCUCAUCUUCUCCUUUAAUACGCUUGAGCUUCAUAAUAUAGCCACGACUGCUGCAAACCUUGCAGUAACCUGAAAUCAAACGGCGCAUUUAGUUUAUGAUGAAUCACAUGGAGGAAUAUAUAGUCCCCGGAUGAUUAUGCGAUGUAAUCCAUCUGAAACUGGCGUGUACAGAACAAGUUGCAGAGUUUCGAGUUUGGCUGGACAAGACUCACAUGUCCUUCAAAACUUGAGGCUGACAAUCAUCGAGCAUGUUGAAAAGUUUAAAUGCCUCCUUAAGUCCUCGGUGUUAAGCCAACACCAAGGAAUGAAUACUUAUGUGUGUCUGUUAUAAGCCAAGACAGAACACUAAAGCUUUGAUACUACAACCGCUUGGUCACAGUGCUUCAGCAUUGGAAGGAUCCUAGGUGCCUUUUUAUACAACUAAAUAAAUGUCUAAUUACGUAGCAGAGGAUGUCGUGUACAUGGACCAUGAUGAUUAAAUGGAAUAUGUUGAUGAGUGACAACGAUUUAGAUGAGGACUUCCAUUAGGAUGACAUGCAUGUAUCGUACUGCAAUGUCGACGAGUGUGACUACUCUAGUAAUAAAAAAGCUGAUACGUCAGCUGAGCACGCCUAGAAAGGGAAAGAAGUCCAAGGCAUUCCUUGGGACAGGCUCAGUAUUACCAUACAGAAAUACCGACAACCCCGACUAGAACAUUACAAAACUAUGAAAAUGUCCCCAACUGUUGGGAUUAUUCCAGGAAUGCAAGUCUUUUUUUUUUCAUUUACCCGCCCUUGAGGUGCUGUCUGCUUGGUUCACUAAUAGUAUUUCUUUCAAUUGUUUCAUAUGUCAUUUGCUUAAUCCCCCCAGGAUUGCAUUGCCACGUAGAAAAGGAGCGUCUUUUAUGAUUCCUGGUGGAAUUUAAGAUCUAUUAAAUUUAGCAUCUUUUAUUUCAAGGUUA